AGAGUUUGAUCCUGGCUCAGAUUGAACGCUGGCGGCAUGCCUAACACAUGCAAGUCGAACGAGGUGUAGCAAUACAUCUAGUGGCGGACGGGYGAGGAAUACAUAGGAAUCUGCCUCAGAGCGGGGGAUAGCCCAGGGAAACUUGGAGUAAUACCGCAUGAUGUCGAGAGACCAAAGCAGGGGACCGCAAGGCCUUGCACUCUGAGAGGAGCCUAUGUCUGAUUAGCUAGUUGGCGGGGUAAUGGCCCACCAAGGCAACGAUCAGUAACUGGUCUGAGAGGACGAUCAGUCACACCGGAACUGAGACACGGUCCGGACUCCUACGGGAGGCAGCAGUGGGGAAUAUUGGACAAUGGGCGAAAGCCUGAUCCAGCAAUGCCGCGUGUGUGAAGAAGGCCUUCGGGUUGUAAAGCACUUUAGGCUGGAAAGAAAAAAUUCAAGCUAACAUCUUGAGUCUUGACGGUACCAGCAGAAUAAGCACCGGCUAACUCUGUGCCAGCAGCCGCGGUAAUACAGAGGGUGCAAGCGUUAAUCGGAUUUACUGGGCGUAAAGCGUGUGUAGGUGGCUGCUCAAGUCGGUUGUGAAAUCCCCGGGCUCAACCUGGGAAUUGCUUCCGAGACUGAGCGACUAGAGUACGGUAGAGGGCGGUGGAAUUUCCGGUGUAGCGGUGAAAUGCGUAGAUAUCGGAAGGAACACCAAUGGCGAAGGCAGCCGCCUGGGCCUGUACUGACACUGAGACACGAAAGCGUGGGGAUCAAACAGGAUUAGAUACCCUGGUAGUCCACGCCGUAAACGAUGGGUACUUGACGUCGGCAUGCUCUGCGUGUCGGUGUCGUAGCUAACGCGAUAAGUACCCCGCCUGGGGAGUACGGCCGCAAGGNNNNNNNNNNNNNNNNNNNNNNNNNNNNNNNNNNNNNNNNNNNNNNNNNNNNNNNNNNNNGCAACGCGAAGAACCUNNCCUGGCCUUNACAUGCUAGAAANCNUGCAGANAUNCUNGAGUGCCCGCNAGGGAAUCUAACACAGGUGCUGCAUGGCWGUCGUCAGCUCGWGUCGURAGAUGUUGGGUUAAGUCCCGCAACGAGCGCAACCCUUGCCCUUAGUUGCCCCCAUUCAGUUGAGCACUCUAAGGGGACCGCCGGUGACAAACCGGAGGAAGGUGGGGAWGACGUCAAGUCAUCAUGGCCCUUAUGGCCAGGGCUACACACGUACUACAAUGGUCGGUACAGAGGGUUGCCAACCCGCGAGGGGGAGCUAAUCCCAUAAAGCCGAUCUUAGUCCGGAUUGGAGUCUGCAACUCGACUCCAUGAAGUCGGAAUCGCUAGUAAUCGCCGAUCAGCAUUUGCGGCGGUGAAUACGUUCCCGGGCCUUGUACACACCGCCCGUCACACCAUGGAAGUCUGUUGCACCAGAAGUAGGUAGUCUAACCGCAAGGGGGGCGCUUACCACGGUGUGGCCGAUGACUGGGGUGAAGUCGUAACAAGGUAGCC
rnacentral:rRNA from 1 species